GGGGAAUUAGCUCAGCUGGGAGAGCGCCUGCUUUGCACGCAGGAGGUCAGCGGUUCGAUCCGCUAUUCUCCACCA
rnacentral:tRNA from 1 species